AGAGUUUGAUCCUGGCUCAGAUUGAACGCUGGCGGCAUGCCUUACACAUGCAAGUCGAACGGCAGCACGGGGGCAACCCUGGUGGCGAGUGGCGAACGGGUGAGUAAUACAUCGGAACGUGUCCUGUAGUGGGGGGAUAGCCCGGCGAAAGCCGGAUUAAUACCGCAUACGCUCUACGGAGGAAAGGGGGGGGAUCUCAGGACCUCCCGCUACAGGGGCGGCCGAUGGCAGAUUAGCUAGUUGGUGGGGUAAAGGCCUACCAAGGCGACGAUCUGUAGCUGGUCUGAGAGGACGACCAGCCACACUGGGACUGAGACACGGCCCAGACUCCUACGGGAGGCAGCAGUGGGGAAUUUUGGACAAUGGGCGAAAGCCUGAUCCAGCAAUGCCGCGUGUGUGAAGAAGGCCUUCGGGUUGUAAAGCACUUUUGUCCGGAAAGAAAACCUCCGCCCUAAUAUGGUGGGGGGAUGACGGUACCGGAAGAAUAAGCACCGGCUAACUACGUGCCAGCAGCCGCGGUAAUACGUAGGGUGCAAGCGUUAAUCGGAAUUACUGGGCGUAAAGCGUGCGCAGGCGGUCCGCUAAGACAGAUGUGAAAUCCCCGGGCUUAACCUGGGAACUGCAUUUGUGACUGGCGGGCUAGAGUAUGGCAGAGGGGGGUAGAAUUCCACGUGUAGCAGUGAAAUGCGUAGAGAUGUGGAGGAAUACCGAUGGCGAAGGCAGCCCCCUGGGCCAAUACUGACGCUCAUGCACGAAAGCGUGGGGAGCAAACAGGAUUAGAUACCCUAGUAGUCC
rnacentral:rRNA from 1 species